rnacentral:rRNA from 1 species
AUGGCAGCCGCCAGCGACAAACGCCGGAAGGAUGUAGCCGAACUCGAGCACGGACUCGAGCACAACGGCGACACACGCCUCCUCCCAACGUCAACCGCAUGCUCGUACGCACGCCCGCGGUCCCGACGCGCACGACGCGCCCAGUGCGCACCCAUAACACGCACCGGUCGCGCCCGGCUCGCCGCCAUGGCUUAUUGCCCUGCAUCGCUGCGGUCUCAAUCGCAGCGCAGCACCUUCAUGUCGCCAUGCCGCUGUGUGUCGUUGAAGCCGCCACCACGCAGGUCCUCCGCGGCCUCAUCACCGUGCGGCCGCAGCCACCGCGGCCUCCUCGCCGCGCCACGCACCUCCAUAGACUGA